GGAAACGGUUGCUAAGACUGGAUAGGAAAUAAAAAGGCAUCUUUUUAUUUUUAAAAGACCUUCUUCGGAGGGUAUGCUUAAAGAGGGGCUUGCGCCACAUUAGUUAGUUGGUGAGGUAAAGGCUCACCAAGAUUAUGAUGUGUAGCUGGACUGAGAGGUUGAACAGCCACAUUGGGACUGAGACACGGCCCAAACUCCUACGGGAGGCAGCAGUAGGGAAUUUUCGGCAAUGGAGGAAACUCUGACCGAGCGACGCCGCGUGAACGAUGAAGUAUUUCGGUAUGUAAAGUUCUUUUAUUGAAGAAGAAAAAAUAAUGGAAAAAUUAUCUUGACGUUAUUCAAUGAAUAAGCCCCGGCUAACUAUGUGCCAGCAGCCGCGGUAAGACAUAGGGGGCGAGCGUUAUCCGGAAUUAUUGGGCGUAAAGGGUGCGUAGGCGGUUAAAUAAGUCUAUAAUUUAAUUUCAGUGCUUAACGCUGUCUUGUUAUAGAAACUAUUUUGACUAGAGUGAGAUAGAGGCAAGCGGAAUUCCAUGUGUAGCGGUAAAAUGUGUAAAUAUAUGGAGGAACACCAGAAGCGUAGGCGGCUUGCUGGGUCUUUACUGACGCUGAGGCACGAAAGCGUGGGGAGCAAACAGGAUUAGAUACCCUGGUAGUCCACGCUGUAAACGAUGAGUACUAAGUGUCGGGGUAACUCGGUACUGAAGUUAACACAUUAAGUACUCCGCCUGAGUAGUACGUACGCAAGUAUGAAACUUAAAGGAAUUGACGGGACUCCGCACAAGCGGUGGAUCAUGUUGUUUAAUUCGAAGAUACACGAAAAACCUUACCAGGUCUUGACAUACUCUGCAAAACUAUAGAAAUAUAGUGGAGGUUAUCAGGGAUACAGGUGGUGCAUGGUUGUCGUCAGUUCGUGUCGUGAGAUGUUAGGUUAAGUCCUAAAACGAACGCAACCCCUUUCGUUAGUUGCCAGCACGUAAUGGUGGGGACUUUAGCGAUACUGCCAAUUAAAAGUUGGAGGAAGGUGGGGAUAACGUCAAAUCAUCAUGCCCCUUAUGAUCUGGGCUACAAACGUGAUACAAUGGCCGUUACAAAGAGUAGCUGAAACGCGAGUUCUUAGCCAAUCUCAAAAAGACGGUCUCAGUCCGGAUUGAAGUCUGCAACUCGACUUCAUGAAGCUGGAAUCGCUAGUAAUCGCGAAUCAGCAUGUCGCGGUGAAUACGUUCUCGGGGUUUGUACACACCGCCCGUCAAACCAUGAAAGUUAGCAAUACCCGAAAGCAGUGGCUUAACUUCGUAAGAAGAGGGAGCUGUCUAAGGUAGGGUUGAUGAUUUGGGGU
rnacentral:rRNA from 1 species